UACAGAGGGUGCAAGCGUUAAUCGGAAUUACUGGGCGUAAAGCGUCCGUAGGUUGUUAUUUAAGUCAGAUGUGAAAGCCCUGGGCUCAACCUAGGAACUGCAUCUGAUACUGGAUAACUGGAGUGCAGUAGAGGGAAGAGGAAUUUCUGGUGUAGCAGUGAAAUGCGUAGAUAUCAGAAGGAACAUCGGUGGCGAAGGCGUCUUCCUGGACUGACACUGACACUGAGGGACGAAAGCGUGGGUAGCAAAC
rnacentral:rRNA from 1 species